AUUGAACGCUGGCGGCAGGCCUAACACAUGCAAGUCGAACGAGUGGCGGACGGGUGAGUAAUGUCUGGGAAACUGCCCGAUGGAGGGGGAUAACUACUGGAAACGGUAGCUAAUACCGCAUACCAUCGGAUGUGCCCAGGUGGGAUUAGCUAGUAGGUGGGGUAACGGCUCACCUCGGCGACGAUCCCUAGCUGUGCUGAGAGGAUGACCAGCCACACUGGAACGGCGACACGGUCCAGACUCCUACGGGAGGCAGCAGUGGGGAAUAUUGCACAAUGGGCGCAAGCCUGAUGCAGCCAUGCCGCGUGUAUGAAGAAGGCCUUCGGGUUGUAAAGUACUUUCAGCGGGGAGGCGUUACCCGCAGAAGAAGCACCGGCUAACUCCGUGCCAGCAGCCGCGGUAAUAC
rnacentral:rRNA from 1 species